ACCAUUGGAGAGCUUUAACAAAGGAAAGCUAAAAUCAGGUAUUCAUUUUUAAAAAGACUGUUCUGACUGCUACAUGGAAAACGAGUUCAAGAGUCUCAGCUAAGAUAGGGCCUCACUUAAGACAGGCGCUUAGGAAAUAACAAUGGGCAUCUGUCACUAUAAAACAUUGUAAGAUUUAUCAAUUUUUUUUUUUUUUUGAGAGGAAGUCUUGCUCUGUCGCCCAGGAUGGAGUACAAUGGCGCAAUCUUGGCUCACUGCCACCUCUGCCACCCGGGUUCAAGUGAUUCUCCUGCCUCAGCCUCCCGAGUAGCUGGGAUUACAGGCAUGCGCCACCAUGCCCAGCUAAUUUUUGUAUUUCUAGUAGAGAUGGGGUUUCACCACGUUGGCCAGGCUGGUCUCAAACUCCUCACCUCAUGAUCCACCCACCUUGGCCUCCCAAAGUGCUGGGAUUACAGGUGUGAGCCACCGCACCCAGCCCAAAUAUUUUUAAAGCCUUGUACUACUAUGAAAAGCAAACAAGGGGAAAGGUGACUAAGUAAGUUUUAGCUUCAAGAACUCAUAGAAACAGAAUAGGUCUUGAUCACUUAAGAAUCAAAGCUUAAAUAAAAAACAGGACAGCUUUAGGGAGAAAGGUUAGAGAGGUAGCCUGGAAUUGAUAGGGGAACUCAGGGACUUUAUCAACCUAUAGUCUGAGAUAUCCUCAAAUGUCUGACUCCCCAUUAUCUACUAUUCACAUAUAAAAACUGAAAAAUAGCACUAUAUAUUGUACUUUGCAUAUUCAGAGUGCCAAUAACGUUUCUAUAUAUGGUAAAAAAAAAAAAAAACUGACCUUCAGCACUUAAAUAGGAAAACGUUAAUUACAACGUGAAUUAGAAAUAAAGUUUUUGCAUUAACUAAAUGUUAUAGACUAAUUAUUCAACUGGGAUAACCACGUAAUUUAUCUUUCAAACCGGGACACCUGAGAGUGAAAAGAAGUGCUAUUAAUAAAUUGUGACAGCACAAGGGACCUACACAAAGACUGAUCCAGACAAGCCAGGACCACAGGGUCACCUUACCUUUAACCUUUUCAUUAAAUGAUCUUUGUAAAAUGUAUUUACACUCUGACUUGUCUCACUAAGUAAAUAAUGGGCAUAACUGUUUUUGAGGAUUAAGACUGUUGUUUGGGAUCUGGUCCAAGAAUGUAAUAGUGAAGAUAAUAGGCAAAGAAACUGGAUUGAAAUUAUAUUGGCCACAAUAACAUUUUCUGGUCUGAGUUUACUUUUUUAGAGAUCUCAACUUAUUUAUCUAUUACUAUUUAUUAUUUGUGAGAUAGGGUCUCAGUCACCCAGGUGGGAGUGCAGUGGCAUGACCAUGGCUCACUAAAGCCUCUACCUCCCCAGCUUCAGGUGAUCCAAUGACCUCAGCCUCCCCAGCAGGGGAAUUACAGGCACGAACUGUCAUGCCUGGCUAAUUUUUGUAUUUUUGGCAGAGACAGGGUUUUACCAUGUUGCCUGGCUGGUCUCAAAUUCCUGGGCUCAAAUGAUCCACCCACCUCAGCCUCACAAAGUGCUGAGAUUAGUGCUGUGCUUGGCCUAUGGUUUCAAUUUAAAAAAGAAGAACUGGCCGGGCGUGGUGGCUCACGCCUGUAAUCCCAGCACUUUGGGAGGCCGAGGCGGGCAGAUCACGAGGUCAGGAGAUCGAGACCAUCCUCGCCAACACGGUGAAACCCCAUCUCUACCAAAAAAUACAAAAAAUUAGCUGGACAUGGUGGCGGGUGCCUAUAGUCCCGGUGCCACUGUACUCCAGCCUGGGCAACAGAGCCAGACUCCAUCUCAAACCAAAAAAAAAAAAAAAAGAAAGAAAUUCUUCUA
rnacentral:lncRNA from 1 species